rnacentral:tRNA from 1 species
AAGGCUUUAAGUUAAAAAAACUAAUAGCCUUCAAAGCUAUAAAUAUAAGAUUCUACCCUUUUAAGCUUUA